UUCUAAAGAUAAAUAACUUUAUAUUGUGAAACUGCGAAUGGCUCAUUAAAUCAGUUAUGAUCUACGUGACAAAUUCUUUACUACUUGGAUAACCGUGGUAAUUCUAGAGCUAAUACAUGCAAAAAAGCCCUGACUUACGAAGGGGUGCACUUAUUAGAUAAAACCAACGCGGGGUAAAACCUGUUUCUUGGUGAAUCAUAAUAAUUAAGCGGAUCGCAUGGCCUUGUGCCGGCGACGGUCCACUCGAUUUUCUGCCCUAUCAUGGUUGAGAUUGUAAGAUAGAGGCUUACAAUGCCUACAACGGGUAACGGGGAAUUAGGGUUCGAUUCCGGAGAGGGAGCCUGAGAAACGGCUACCACAUCCAAGGAAGGCAGCAGGCGCGCAAAUUACCCAAUCCCGACACGGGGAGGUAGUGACAAUACAUAACAAUGCAGGGCCUUUAAGGUCUUGCAAUUGGAAUGAGUACAAUUUAAAUCCCUUAACGAGGAUCAAUUGGAGGGCAAGUCUGGUGCCAGCAGCCGCGGUAAUUCCAGCUCCAAUAGCGUAUAUUAAAGUUGUUGCAGUUAAAACGUCCGUAGUCAAACUUUAGUCUUACCGGCGUAGUGGCCUGGUCUUCAUUGACCAAGCUCAUUGCUGCCGGAGACUCCAUGUCCAUUGACUCCUAGUCCUCGUGGCUAGGGUUUUCUGGACAAUUACCAUGAGCAAAUCAGAGUGUUUAAAGCAGGCUUUUAAGCUUGAAUGUGUUAGCAUGGAAUAAUGAAAUAUGACUUUAGUCCUAUUUUCGUUGGUUUAGGUACUUCAGUAAUGAUGAAUAGAAACGGUUAGGGGCAUUUGUAUUUGGUCGCUAGAGGUGAAAUUCUUGGAUUGACCGAAGACAAACUACUGCGAAAGCAUUUGACCCGGGACGUUUUCAUUGAUCAAGGUCUAAAGUUAAGGGAUCGAAGACGAUUAGAUACCGUCGUAGUCUUAACCACAAACUAUGCCGACUAGAGAUUGGGCGUGUUUAUUAUGACUCGCUCAGCAUCUUAGCGAAAGUAAAGUUUUUGGGUUCUGGGGGGAGUAUGGGACGCAAGGCUGAAACUUAAAGGAAUUGACGGAAGGGCACCACCAGGAGUGGAGCCUGCGGCUUAAUUUGACUCAACACGGGGAAACUCACCAGGUCCAGACAUAGUAAGGAUUGACAGAUUGAAAGCUCUUUCUAGAUUCUAUGGGUGGUGGUGCAUGGCCGUUCUUAGUUCGUGGAGUGAUUUGUCUGGUUAAUUCCGAUAACGAACGAGACCUUAUUCUGCUAAUUAGACAGGCUAACUCUUUCGGGUUGGUUUAUAUUUAAUAUUUAACAGGCUUCAUUAGAUAGACUAU
rnacentral:rRNA from 1 species